rnacentral:ncRNA from 1 species
GGAGGCGCCCAAAGGUUCCCUCAACCUGGUUGGCAAUCAGGUGGCGAGUGUAAGUGCACAAGGGAGCUUGACUGUGAGACUGACAGGUCGAGCAGGGACGAAAGUCGGGACUAGUGAUCCGGCAGUGGCUUGUGGAAGCGCUGUCGCUCAACGGAUAAAAGGUACCUCGGGGAUAACAGGCUGAUCUUGCCCAAGAGUCCAUAUCGACGGCAUGGUUUGGCACCUCGAUGUCGGCUCGUCGCAUCCUGGGGCUGGAGUAGGUCCCAAGGGUUGGGCUGUUCGCCCAUUAAAGCGGUACGCGAGCUGGGUUUAGAACGUCGUGAGACAGUUCGGUCCCUAUCCGCUGCGCGCGAGGAAGAUUGAGAGGAUCUGACCCUAGUACGAGAGGACCGGGUUGGACGAACCUCUGGUGUGUCAGUUGUUCCGCCAGGAGCACCGCUGAUUAGCUACGUUCGGGAUGGAUAACCGCUGAAAGCAUCUAAGCGGGAAGCCGGCCUCAAGAUG